ensembl:snRNA U6 U6 spliceosomal RNA
GUGCUCCCUUUGGCAGCACAUAUACUAAAGUUGGAACGAUACAGAGAAGAUUAGCAUGGCCCCUACACAAGGAUGACAUGCAAAUUCAUGAAGCGUUCCAUAUUUUU